AUUUGAUUCCAAUCCUUGCUUUAUUUGUUUGUUACCAGUCGCUAUCAUUGCACGCGUUGCAAGUGAUUCUUUUUUAACGGUUUUUACUGUUUAAAACAAAAUGUCGUACAUAACAGAUACUGUUAAGAGUUGCGAGUUGCUCGAUUGUAACCUGUAAUCUAAAGGUCGGUUAAUAUCUCGUGCGCGAAUCGAUACCGAUCACAAUACACGCCGUGUCUUCACACUCCCGCAUCCCUCCUGAUGUCAUACCUAAUCGAAGAAAAACUCCGUGAAGCAGCGUGCCUCGGUGACAUCGAGUCCGUGCAGGGUUUAAUCUCGCAGCACGUGAAUAUCAACGCGCAGAACCGCAUAAACGGAUGGAGUGCGUUGCAUUGGGCUUGCAAGCGCGGACACGAGGAUGUCGUGCGCGUCCUGCUGAACAACGGCGCCGAUAUCAAUCUUGAAACCAACAACGCUGAGAAGCCGGCGAGUCUCUGCACGCAUUCGAAUAUAGCGCAACUGCUGGGCGAACCAGUUGCGCAACCGACAUCACCGCAUAACAACCAUCUGGAGGCCGGCGACGAGCUGAAAUUUGUACCAAAUUACAUCAAAAAUGCGCCAAUCAAUGGUCGAGUGGAGUUGAACUUUAUGCCAAGAUCUGCUGCACUUCCAAUUACUAGUCUUCCAAGCAAUGCUGUGCAUUCAUCAGCCAACUCAAUAGUGCUCAAAGUGCGAGUGAAUGGCUCUUGUGAUCCGGAUUUUAUUGAAAUUGAAUUGCCUACUGAUAAAUUGUGGUUUUCUGCAUUAAUGGACCUGUGCUGUGAGGAACUUGGAGUGUCUGCCUCACAAGUUGAGAGAAUUCGAAAACUACCCAACACUAGAUUAAGAAAUGAUAAUGAUGUGGGUAGAUUAGUUAAUUUCCAAGAGUUAGAGGUGGUUUUAAAAGGCCCUGGCUUAGACAAGUUCAACAACAGUUACCAGAGCAUAUCAUCCUGUAAGGAUCAAACAAUUCUUUAUUGACUAACAUUUAUUAACCAUGUUUUCUUAUGGCAAUAAUAAAUGAAUGUUAAGUUGCAGUUAAGUUAGCACAUGUGUUAUUAAAUCAUGGAGAAAAGUGAUUACUUUAAGGCCUGGGUUGCCAAAUUAAUAGAUAGCCAUCAAGAUACAACAGAGCAGGAGCCAGUAGUUAAACUAAAAUCACUUGAAAAUGUAGCUGUUCCUGAGGAUGAGAAAGAAAUUCAAAGUAGGAUUAAUUGCCUAAAAAAAGAAGCAGUUGCAGAGUACGUAGAACUAAGAAUGGACAGAAAUAUAGGGGAAUGGCAACCAGAAUCACGUCUUAUUAGAAUUAUUAGCUUAUCGGGUGCAGGCGCUCAUUCAUUAGGGUUUCAAAAUGCCGACGGGAAGUUUUUAACACCUUUUGAGGCUUUGUUUCUGUUAGAGAACAAUAGGUUAGAAAUAUUAAAUGAUGAUAUUCCAUGGACAGUUUUCGAAGCAUACCGCACAUUGCUACCGAGAAACGACGAUGUUCUAAAGUACAAAUAUUAUCGGAAAUUUGCUCUUCUAGGCGUGUAUCGUGAUUGUCCAAUGGAUAAUUCACUUGAAGAGAUUCAUCAAGAGCAGAAGCGGUUUAAAACAACUCAUCCUGAUGAUGAUCGCGAUAAAAUAAAGUGCAUCAAUCAGCAAAACGUUGAAAAAAAGACAUUUAGUAAUAUUUUUGAAGAAUUAAUUGCAUCUGGACCACAAACAAAAGUUCCUAGAUUUCAACAGUCUAAAAUACCAAAUUAUAUUACGAGUGAUGAAUUAAACGCGAAUUUUUUCGAAAGUGCUUCCAAUCUUUGCGUUUCGACGGGCGAAUCGUUCAUUGGGAUCCAACCCAUCCAAACAACUUUACUUCCACCCGAGGGCGACUAGAAUAAAGAUGUAAGUACUCGCAUUUUCCCCCUACUCAAUCGCCACUCAACGCGAGCACACCAUGCCCACAGUCAAAUCUCCUGGUGCUGGUGGACGGGCCGGGGCCGAUGUACAGGUAGUAUAAGUAAGCGCGAAGCCACCUGAGCCACCUGAGUCUCGCGUUCAAUUCACGUUACGCCGGAGUAACAACUGUAUACAAGAGCGUACGCUCCGCGGCACGCACGGCACGAGUUAUCAUCAUCGCAGAGCGCGGCGCAGUUCUCGCAACCUAAACUAAGUCAACUCCGACGCACAGUGCGCGCAACAGGUCGGCCCCGAUUGCAAAUAUAAUAGUGAUAUCGAACAAAUAAUAAACCAAGCAUCAUCGCGAUCGAGAACCGAGAGAGCUAUAUUGGUGCGCGCCGCGACCGACAGACAGACCGCAGCGGCAAGGACGCCGAAGGACGAAGAAUCGCAGCAGCGCCCGCCAAGCAGUUUCAUUAUCAACGCAUUAGCAUCUGUCGAACGUAUUGCCUUACCUAGGAGCGUUCGUCUCGCCGGCUACGAAGUGCACGUUGGACACAUUGCAUUACGCAUUACGUUUUAUUGCAUAUUUCGAUAUAUUCCCGAUAGCGGCGAAGGGGGAUCCCACUCGCGUCGUCGUGAUCUCGUGCUCGUCGAUUUUUCCACCGGCUGCUCGCGCGCUCGUCAUCCCAUCCGAGAGCGAUUUUUUUGCUCCACCUCGCCCCGUUUCGACGUAUUACGCCACGCUGAUACAAAAGACGGCGAAGACUUC